AGGCAGCAGUAGGGAAUCUUCCACAAUGGACGAAAGUCUGAUGGAGCAACGCCGCGUGAGUGAAGAAGGGUUUCGGCUCGUAAAACUCUGUUGUUAAAGAAGAACAUAUCUGAGAGUAACUGUUCAGGUAUUGACGGUAUUUAACCAGAAAGCCACGGCUAACUACGUGCCAGCAGCCGCGGUAAUACGUAGGUGGCAAGCGUUGUCCGGAUUUAUUGGGCGUAAAGCGAGCGCAGGCGGUUUUUUAAGUCUGAU
rnacentral:rRNA from 1 species